CCUACGGGCGGCUGCAGUGGGGAAUAUUGGACAAUGGGGGGAACCCUGAUCCAGCCAUGCCGCGUGUGUGAAGAAGGCCCUCGGGUUGUAAAGCACUUUCAGUGAGGAAGAACGCCUGGUGGUUAAUACCCAUCAGGAAAGACAUCACUCACAGAAGAAGCACCGGCUAACUCCGUGCCAGCAGCCGCGGUAAUACGGAGGGUGCGAGCGUUAAUCGGAAUUACUGGGCGUAAAGCGCGCGUAGGUGGCUUGAUAAGCCGGUUGUGAAAGCCCCGGGCUCAACCUGGGAACGGCAUCCGGAACUGGCAAGCUAGAGUGCAGGAGAGGAAGGUAGAAUUCCCGGUGUAGCGGUGAAAUGCGUAGAGAUCGGGAGGAAUACCAGUGGCGAAGGCGGCCUUCUGGACUGACACUGACACUGAGGUGCGAAAGCGUGGGUAGCAAACAGGAUUAGAUACCCGUGUAGUC
rnacentral:rRNA from 1 species